UACGUAGGGUGCAAGCGUUGUCCGGAAUUAUUGGGCGUAAAGAGCUCGUAGGCGGUCUGUCGCGUCUGCUGUGAAAAUCCAGGGCUCAACCCUGGACCUGCAGUGGGUACGGGCAGACUAGAGUGCGGUAGGGGAGAUCGGAAUUCCUGGUGUAGCGGUGAAAUGCGUAGAUAUCUGGAGGAACACCGGUGGCGAAGGCGGCAUCCUGGACCGACACUGACGCUGAGGCGCGAAAGCUAGGGGAGCAAACGGG
rnacentral:rRNA from 1 species